UUAUUAUUAUGCCAUCCUUACAACUAUGGCCCGUUGAUUAUCCAAAUUGUAUAAUUUUGAGGCCUUUGUUUGUUCAUCAAGGAUCUCCCACUUUAUAGUUUUCUGGUAAUUGGUUGAUGUUAAAUAGUGCCUAAUAAUUUUUGAAGCAAAAGGGUUUUUUUUGUAAAAUCUAAUAUACGUGGGAGGCCCGAAUAGAUGUCACUUGGUUGAAAUUUAAAUGAAGUUGUUUCCUCCUGGUUGAUUUUUGCAAACAUGAAUAUCAAUACGGAGUUUAUAGAAUUUUUUCUCAUUGUCCACUUCUUUUUAACUCUCUACUCACAAUAAUUUGAAUUUUUUCCCUCAUUUUACAGGCAUCCCAAAUAGUACAAGCAGC
rnacentral:misc_RNA from 1 species